CCUACCGGUGGCAGCAGUGAGGAAUAUUGGUCAAUGGGCGCGAGCCUGAACCAGCCAAGUAGCGUGAAGGAUGACUGCCCUACGGGUUGUAAACUUCUUUUAUAAAGGAAUAAAGUGAGGCACGUGUGCCUUUUUGUAUGUACUAUAUGAAUAAGGAUCGGCUAAAUCUGUGACAGCAGCCGCGGUAAUACGGAGGAUCCGAGCGUUAUCCGGAUUUAUUGGGUUUAAAGGGAGCGUAGAUGGGUUGUUAGGUCAGUUGUGAAAGUUUGCGGCUCAACCGUAAAAUUGCAAUUGAUACUGGCAGUCUUGAGUACAGUAGAGGUAGGCGGAAUUAGUGGUGUAGCAGUGAAAUGCGUAGAUAUCAGGAAGAACUCCGAUUGCGAAGGCAGCUUACUAAGCUGCCACUGACAUUGAUGCUCGAAAGUGUGGGUAUCAAACAGGAUUAGAUACCCUUGUAGUC
rnacentral:rRNA from 1 species